GAAUUCGCCCUUAGAGUUUGAUCCUGGCUCAGGACGAACGCUGGCGGCGCGCCUAACACAUGCAAGUCGAACGAGCGAGAGAGAGCUUGCUUUCUCGAGCGAGUGGCGAACGGGUGAGUACGCGUGAGGAACCUGCCUCAAAGAGGGGGACAACAGUUGGAAACGACUGCUAAUACCGCAUAAGCCCACGGGUCGGCAUCGACCAGAGGGAAAAGGAGCAAUCCGCUUUGAGAUGGCCUCGCGUCCGAUUAGCUAGUUGGUGAGGUAAUGGCCCACCAAGGCGACGAUCGGUAGCCGGACUGAGAGGUUGAACGGCCACAUUGGGACUGAGACACGGCCCAGACUCCUACGGGAGGCAGCAGUGGGGAAUAUUGCACAAUGGGGGAAACCCUGAUGCAGCGACGCCGCGUGGAGGAAGAAGGUCUUCGGAUUGUAAACUCCUGUUGUUGAGGAAGAUAAUGACGGUACUCAACAAGGAAGUGACGGCUAACUACGUGCCAGCAGCCGCGGUAAAACGUAGGUCACAAGCGUUGUCCGGAAUUACUGGGUGUAAAGGGAGCGCAGGCGGGAAGACAAGUUGGAAGUGAAAUCUAUGGGCUCAACCCAUAAACUGCUUUCAAAACUGUUUUUCUUGAGUAGUGCAGAGGUAGGCGGAAUUCCCGGUGUAGCGGUGGAAUGCGUAGAUAUCGGGAGGAACACCAGUGGCGAAGGCGGCCUACUGGGCACCAACUGACGCUGAGGCUCGAAAGUGUGGGUAGCAAACAGGAUUAGAUACCCUGGUAGUCCACACCGUAAACGAUGAUUACUAGGUGUUGGAGGAUUGACCCCUUCAGUGCCGCAGUUAACACAAUAAGUAAUCCACCUGGGGAGUACGACCGCAAGGUUGAAACUCAAAGGAAUUGACGGGGGCCCGCACAAGCAGUGGAGUAUGUGGUUUAAUUCGACGCAACGCGAAGAACCUUACCAAGUCUUGACAUCCCUUGACGAACAUAGAAAUAUGUUUUCUCUUCGGAGCAAGGAGACAGGUGGUGCAUGGUUGUCGUCAGCUCGUGUCGUGAGAUGUUGGGUUAAGUCCCGCAACGAGCGCAACCCUUACUGUCAGUUACUACGCAUGAGGACUCUGGCAGGACUGCCGUUGACAAAACGGAGGAAGGUGGGGAUGACGUCAAAUCAUCAUGCCCUUUAUGACUUGGGCUACACACGUACUACAAUGGCGUUAAACAAAGAGAAGCAAGACCGCGAGGUGGAGCAAAACUCAGAAACAACGUCCCAGUUCGGACUGCAGGCUGCAACUCGCCUGCACGAAGUCGGAAUUGCUAGUAAUCGUGGAUCAGCAUGCCACGGUGAAUACGUUCCCGGGCCUUGUACACACCGCCCGUCA
rnacentral:rRNA from 1 species